rnacentral:misc_RNA from 1 species
AAGUCGUAACAAGGUUUCCGUAGGUGAACCUGCGGAAGGAUCAUUAACACGUAUCCAAACGUUAAACCCCCCUGUGAACCUUCAGUCGUACUCGUACGUCCAUCGCCGAACAGUUUUCGAUUCAGGGACGUCUGCAAGGAGCGUGCAUGUUGUGCGUGUAAGUGGCCUGGCAUCCCCAAGCAGUUAGUGUCUGAAAGUGUCACUAACGUUAGUGUCUGAAAGUGUCACUAACAUGUGUAAGGAUGACGCAGUCACGAUCGUUGGAGGCCCACACGGCCGACGACCGGGUCACCGGGUGCAAGCCCCCUUAUCACACCCCUGCUCUAUCUAUGGUGAUCCUGCGGGAAGUCCUGCGGUCGAACGCCGAAACCGAACAACUGUUAACAAUGGAUAUCUUGGUUCUC